GCAUAAUCAUUAGUCUUCUAAUUAAAGGCUGGAAUGAAUGGCUGGACGAGGUGCUUGCUGUCUCAUUAAAAUUGCAGUAGAAUUUAACUUCUUAGUCAAAAGGCUGAGAUGGUAUUGGAGGACGAGAAGACCCUAUAGAUCUUGAUAUCUAACUGGUUUAAUUUCUUUAGAAGAAAGAAAAUUUUAUUUUUAUGGUAUUUCGUUGGGGUGACGGGGAGAUAAAUAAACUCUUUUUUAUAAAGUUCACCGAUAAGUGAAUAAAUGAUCCAUUACUAAUGAUUAUAAGACUAAGUUACCUUAGGGAUAACAGCGUAAUCUUUUUCGAGAGUUCAUAUCGACAAAAAGGGUUGCGACCUCGAUGUUGGAUUAAGGGUUAUUUUUGGGUGCAGAAGUUCAAAGUUUAGGUCUGUUCGACCUUUGAACCCUUACAU
rnacentral:rRNA from 1 species